rnacentral:tRNA from 1 species
AAGAGUUUAUUUUAAAUUAAAAUAUUAGAUUGUAAAUCUAAAGAUAAUAUUCUUGA